ACAAUUUUAAUCACAUGUGUGAUGAUUGAAAUUUCACACUGCAGUAAGAUUUGCCUCUCUCAAACCUUGAUGUGACAUCAGCACAUGACCCAUGUAAUU
rnacentral:snoRNA from 1 species